rnacentral:rRNA from 1 species
GACGAACGCUGGCGGCGUGCUUAACACAUGCAAGUCGAACGGAAAGGCCCUGCUUGCAGGGUGCUCGAGUGGCGAACGGGUGAGUAACACGUGGGUGAUCUGCCCCUUACUUUGGGAUAAGCCUGGGAAACUGGGUCUAAUACUGGAUAGGACCAUGCUGUAGGUGGUGUGGUGGAAAGAUUAGUUUCGGUAAGGGAUGAGCUCGCGGCCUAUCAGCUUGUUGGUGGGGUAAUGGCCUACCAAGGCGUCGACGGGUAGCCGGCCUGAGAGGGUGGACGGCCACAUUGGGACUGAGAUACGGCCCAGACUCCUACGGGAGGCAGCAGUGGGGAAUAUUGCACAAUGGGCGCAAGACUGAUGCAGCGACGCCGCGUGGGGGAUGACGGCCUUCGGGUUGUAAACUCCUUUCAGCCAUGACGAAGCCUUCGGGUGACGGUAGUGGUAGAAGAAGCACCGGCUAACUACGUG